UGGGGAAUUUUGGACAAUGGGCGCAAGCCUGAUCCAGCCAUGCCGCGUGCGGGAAGAAGGCCUUCGGGUUGUAAACCGCUUUUGUCAGGGAAGAAAUCUUCUGAGUUAAUACCUCGGGAGGAUGACGGUACCUGAAGAAUAAGCACCGGCUAACUACGUGCCAGCAGCCGCGGUAAUACGUAGGGUGCAAGCGUUAAUCGGAAUUACUGGGCGUAAAGCGUGCGCAGGCGGUUUUGUAAGACAGAGGUGAAAUCCCCGGGCUCAACCUGGGAACUGCCUUUGUGACUGCAAGGCUUGAGUGCGGCAGAGGGGGCAUGGAAUUCCGCGUGUAGCAGUGAAAUUGCGUAGAUAUGCGGAGGAACACCGAUGGCGAAGGCAAUCCCCUGGGCCUGCACUGACGCUCAUGCACGAAAGCGUGGGGAGCAAACAGGAUUAGAUAG
rnacentral:rRNA from 1 species